rnacentral:rRNA from 1 species
GACGAACGCUGGCGGCGUGCCUAAUACAUGCAAGUAGAACGCUGAAGGAGGAGCUUGCUUCUCUGGAUGAGUUGCGAACGGGUGAGUAACGCGUAGGUAACCUGCCUGUUAGCGGGGGAUAACUAUUGGAAACGAUAGCUAAUACCGCAUAAGAGUAGAUGUUGCAUGACAUUUGCUUAAAAGGUGCAAUUGCAUCACUACCAGAUGGACCUGCGUUGUAUUAGCUAGUUGGUGGGGUAACGGCUCACCAAGGCGACGAUACAUAGCCGGCCUGAGAGGGGGAUCGGCCACACUGGGACUGAGACACGGCCCAGACUCCUAAGGGAAGCAGCAGUAGGGAAUCUUCGGCAAUGGACGGAAGUCUGACCGGGCAACGCCGCGUGAGUGAAGAAGGUUCUCGGAUCGUAAAGCUCUGUUGUAAGAGAAGGAAGAGUGUGGGAGUGGAAAGUUCACACUGUGACGGUAUCUUACCAGAAAGGGACGGCUAACUACGUG